rnacentral:rRNA from 1 species
AUGUCGUCGUCGAUCCCACCGCUGGCCUUUUCCUCUGCUUGCCUCCUCCGGUCCUCUUCCAUGUCACCGUUGAUCCAGACUCCUCCCUCCUCCUCUCCCCUCCCCCUCCCACAGCCACCGCACCCGUCGCUUGGCCCCCUGGCGACGCCCGGGUCGGGGCUGGGAAGAAGGUCCGGGCCUGCGAGGGAAAGCAGCGAGGGUUGGUGCAGCAGCAAAUACGGGCGGGAUUUGCAUGGAGGGAGGCUCGUCAGCCGGAACAACAGGAGCAAGGAGGUCGUGCCGGCGCGAAUGCUGGUGGGGUCGGCCGUGGAAGAAGGCUCGCUGGACGGAGCAUCAAGAGCAGGGAAGUCGAGGUGGUUCAGAUUUUGCCUAUUCUCUAAGAUGGAUGAUGAUGAGUGGUGCAACCGAAAAUUCAGAGCUGGGCUUUACACAAUUCAGUGGGAUUCAACUGGACAAGCCACUACAAAUCCUAUUCCUAUGUUUAUCAGAUCCUACGAAUCAAAGAGGCUCAAAGUGUCCAUCACAACCGACCAUAUAGACCUCUACACUGCAAAUGUCCCUGCACAUCUUCAGUACAAGGAACAUACUAUACUACUAUCAUACUCCCUUCGUUCCAAAAUAUAA